rnacentral:rRNA from 1 species
UACGUAGGGUGCAAGCGUUGUCCGGAAUUAUUGGGCGUAAAGAGCUCGUAGGCGGUCUGUCGCGUCGGCUGUGAAAACUCGGGGCUCAACCCCGAGCCUGCAGUCGAUACGGGCAGACUAGAGUGCUGUAGGGGGAGACUGGAAUUCCUGGUGUAGCGGUGAAAUGCGCAGAUAUCAGGAGGAACACCGGUGGCGAAGGCGGGUCUCUGGGCCG